rnacentral:rRNA from 1 species
GACGAACGCUGGCGGCGUGCUUAACACAUGCAAGUCGAACGGUGAAGCUCCAGCUUGCUGGAGUGGAUCAGUGGCGAACGGGUGAGUAACACGUGAGCAACCUGCCCCUGACUCUGGAAUAAGCGCUGGAAACGGCGUCUAAUACUGGAUACGAGAAGGGUCCGCAUGGGCACUUUCUGGAAAGUUUUUCGGUUGGGGAUGGGCUCGCGGCCUAUCAGCUUGUUGGUGAGGUAAUGGCUCACCAAGGCGACGACGGGUAGCCGGCCUGAGAGGGCGACCGGCCACACUGGGACUGAGACACGGCCCAGACUCCUACGGGAGGCAGCAGUGGGGAAUAUUGCACAAUGGGCGAAAGCCUGAUGCAGCGACGCCGCGUGAGGGAUGACGGCCUUCGGGUUGUAAACCUCUUUCAACAGGGAAGAAGCGAAAGUGACGGUACCUGCAGAAGAAGCACCGGCUAACUACGUG